rnacentral:rRNA from 1 species
AGAGUUUGAUCCUGGCUCAGAAUCAACGCUGGCGGCGCGCCUAACACAUGCAAGUCGAACGAGAAAGUGGAGCAAUCCAUGAGUACAGUGGCGUACGGGUGAGUAACACGUGGGUAAUCUACCUCUUAGUGCGGAAUAACCCUGGGAAACCGGGGCUAAUACCGCAUAAGCUCGAGAGAGGAAAGCAGCAAUGCGCUGAGAGAGGAGCCCGCGGCCGAUUAGCUUGUUGGCAGGGUAAAAGCCUACCAAGGCAAAGAUCGGUAGCCGGCCUGAGAGGGCACACGGCCACACUGGCACUGAAACACGGGCCAGACUCCUACGGGAGGCAGCAGUGGGGAAUCUUGCACAAUGGGGGAAACCCUGAUGCAGCGACGCCGCGUGAGCGAUGAAGCCCUUCGGGGUGUAAAGCUCUUUCGGCAGGGAAGAUGAUGACGGUACCUGCAGAAGCAGCUGCGGCUAACUACGUGCCAGCAGCCGCGGUAAUACGUAGGCAGCAAGCGUUGUUCGGAGUUACUGGGCGUAAAGGGUGUGUAGGCGGUUUGGUAAGUCUGGUGUGAAAUCUCCCGGCUCAACUGGGAGGGUGCGCCGGAAACUGCCGGACUCGAGUGCGGGAGAGGAGAGUGGAAUUCCUGGUGUAGCGGUGAAAUGCGUAGAUAUCAGGAGGAACACCGGUGGUGUAGACGGCUCUCUGGACCGUAACUGACGCUGAAACACGAAAGCGUGGGUAGCAAACAGGAUUAGAUACCCUGGUAGUCCACGCCCUAAACGAUGCAUAUUUGGUGUGGGUCAUUCAGUUGAUCCGUGCCGGAGCUAACGCGUUAAAUAUGCCGCCUGGGGAGUACAGUCGCAAGGCUGAAACUCAAAGGAAUUGACGGGGGCCCGCACAAGCGGUGGAGCAUGUGGUUCAAUUCGACGCAACGCGAAGAACCUUACCUGGGCUCGAACGGCUUCUCAACGGCGGUGGAAACCACUGUUACCCCGCAAGAGU